GUUUUUAAAAAGUGUUUUGAAGGCUCAAUCUGGUUAGAUUUCUUUUUUGAGGUAAAGUAAAGGGUAUGUAUGGUGGAAUAUUGUAAAAAGUAUGAACUUGUUUAGGUGAUCUGCAGACACUUUUAGGCAAAAGGU